UGAAGAUGAUUCAAAAAGAAGUAUAAAAUUAAUCAUUGCCAGGUUGGAUUCAAAUUCACAGUGGGCAGUGUGGGUCUGUAGAUGACCUGGUCGCCAUGAUUUAAUGGUUUUUGUCCAGCAGUGCUUGUCAGCUGUGUUUUGGAAUUAGAACCACAGAUGUGGGAGCCGCUAUCUAGAGCUGGAUGUUGAUCUGACAGACACCUGGGAAGUUGAGGCUGGUGAGGUAGGGAAGGUUAGGGAAGACCAGGGGAUCAGAACAAACGGAUUGGAGAAGUUAGAAGUAGUGGAGACCCUGAAGCACGAAUGAAG